ensembl:lncRNA LINC00540 long intergenic non-protein coding RNA 540
UCAGACUAACUUCAGAAGCAGAGUUGAAAGCCAGGGCCAGAGAGAGCCCCCAGAACAUUCCACAGGGGCUGGGCGGGCCGGCCCAGGGCCUGCCUAUGGCCUGAAAGAGAAAACCUGCCACGGAGCCCGGGCUUCUCUGAUCCUCCCGCCAAACUUUGUCUCUCAUUUAGCUUUCUUUGUGUCUGAGGAUUUAGCAAAGGCCUCAGGGAUUCAACAGAGUUGGAUUGCUGAGAAUAAAAUUACGGAUUUCUCCAUAAUGGACACACGCACUUUUUGUUUGUGCUGUUUCCUUUAGAAUGGACGAUGAGUCAAAAUUGUUCGUUUAUGCUUCUUCACAGAAGGAUCUUCUGUGUCGUAGGAGGUGGCCUGCAGCAAUCUGGACAUUCAGUGGUCCUCCUGUGAUUAAUAGGUGAACGGAUGAGCUAUUCUGAUAAGAACUGGGGAACUUUUGCCAUUCAAAAGCAAAUAGAAGAACUGGGAGAUUCCUCAACUUAGCUUUUCUUUUUUUUGGUUCUAAAGUGACUGCGAAUGGAGGUAGAAGAGAAGAAAAGCUUUCAAAAACAUCUUCCAUUAAGAAAAAUAUGUAUCUUCAUGAAGACCUAUCUGAGUAAAAUUACUAAAACAUAAUGGCUUUCUUGAAAUAGAAUGGAAUGAAAGGCAUAUUAGGGAGUAUGAAAGUAUGAAGAUUUUAUUAACAUACUUCUAGAAGUUUAUUAAAUAUCUGCACAGGAACUGUAAUUUGAGAUCAGUGGUGGAAAGAGAAUAAAGGAAUCACGUGGACAUCAGCUCUGAGGCCUGUGGCCCCACUUGCUUCUGGGCUUUCUAUAGACAUUUGCUGGUGACCUGCCCAGGCAGGCUAGAGUACCCUUCCUCAUUGCACCCUGUGUUCCCAUCCUCUUUUCCUUCCUUCCUUCCUUCCUUCCUUCCUUCCUUCCUUUCUUCCUCCAUCCCUUAUGAAACCCUCGUUGUGCAGUUACUUAUUAGGUGCUGUGUGAGCGUCUGAAGUCUCCCCUCACCCACUUUUCCAUUUGGGCCACUUGGCCAGUGAUUGCAUCAGUACCAGGGUUCUAGGAGCCAUGCAGGGAUCCCCAGUGGGCAGAGCUGGCCGUAGCAUUUGGAAAGGAAGAGAGAGAACUGGAGACAAUGCCUAGGAACAAAAGCAGAGUCCAGACCCAGGCAUCAAGUGCAAAUCCAAAGGCUCUGGAUGAGUCAGUUCCCAGCAAAGGGACACAAGUAGGCACAGAAGGAAGGACAGCAGAAAACACUGGUCCAGAGAGGGCCUGCAGAGCCAGAAGCGAUGACGCAUCCAAGGUUGUGUUUGACUUCUGCACUGCCUCUGCAACCUGUAAGCACAUCUGAGCCAGUUCAGAAAGUAGGAAAACCAAAGUAUAUCAGAAAUGGCCUCUUAUCAUCAAGGAGAUUUUGGUCUAGAUUGCUUAUUGCUCAGGAGAAAUCACCACUUUUUAAAAAGAUAUGCUGAGAUAGGGUUUAGUUGGGAUAGAAAAGGUUAUUAAACUACGGGACACCCUUCCUUUACAGAGUGUAAGCACUACUACCCCUUUUGUUUGUCUGUUUUUCUUAUUUUUCUCACAGAUGCAGUUCCUGCAUUAGUAUUGAUAAAUGUGUGGCUGCUCCACUUGGAGUGUUUUCAAAGCAUAAAUCACAGCAUUGAUGGUGCUGUGGUUUGGCUCUUCCAGCCCUCUUAACAACGGUCUGAUGGACUUGGCGAGAGUCUAGCCACGUGUUCUGGCCUCUGUCACUCUCAUGGCUGAAACGCAUGCACACCCACAGAUGGGGGCCCCGUGGUAGAGAUGUGCCUCUACUUGUCAAAUAGACUGACUCCAAAUUCGGAAAUAUGCCUCAGGAAUCUAGAAAGAUAGAAAAGGAGUCUUCGUCACUGUAGGGUCUCAUUCACAAUAUGGAGGAGAGAUGGAGGGGAGUUUUUGGUAUAAAUUUUGCCUCAUAAAAAUUCUCCACGUUGUUUUGUACUGUAUGAGGGUAGCGAGAAAUUAGUUGAUGGUUAACAAUCAAGCUGGAGAAGAAUAUCCUCAAUUUUUCACAUGGAAAAUGAAAAACUACAACUCCUUCCAAAUAUAUGUAUGUUUCUUUUCUGAAGAUAGACGUGUGUGUGUUUGUGUGUAUCAUAUAACAUUUAUUUUUUGAUUUCUUUGUUAUCAACAGUAAAAAUACAGAAAAUGAUGCCAAAGAGAA